CGGGGCGUAGCGCAGACCGGUUAGCGCGCCUGCCUUGGGAGCAGGAGGUCGCUGGUUCAAAUCCAGUCGCCCCGACCA
rnacentral:tRNA from 1 species